GUGAGGAAUUUUGCGCAAUGGCCGCAAGGCUGACGCAGCAACGCCGCGUGAAGGAUGAAGGCCUUCGGGUUGUAAACUUCUUUUGGAGGGGACGAAUAAAUUGACGGUACCCUCAGAAAAAGCCACGGCUAACUACGUGCCAGCAGCCGCGGUAAUACGUAGGUGGCGAGCGUUACUCGGAAUUACUAGGCGUAAAGCGUAUGUAGGCGGUUGUAUAAGUCUAUGGUGAAAUUUCCUGGCUCAACUGGGAAGGGACAUAGAUACUGUAUGGCUUGAGUGUUGGAGGGGGAGACGGAAUUCCUGGUGUAGCGGUGAAAUGCGUAGAUAUCAGGAGGAACACCGAUGGCGAAAGCAGUCUCCUGGCCAAAUACUGACGCUGAGGUACGAAAGCUAGGGUAGCAAACAGGAUUAGAAACCCCAGUAGUCC
rnacentral:rRNA from 1 species